rnacentral:lncRNA from 1 species
ACUUUCUGUCCCGCUGUUUUAUGGGGAAGGCGGGGGAAGACACGCAGACAUCAAUUCGACUAAACAAAGUUUAUCAAUAAUAUUAAAAAUAAAAAGUAAAGCCCCUUUCUGAACAUUAUGGCUUAUUCCUUGAUUAUCCUUCUUAAUGCCACAGCGUGGCUAUCUCAGAACAAAAUUAGAGACUAACAGUAAAUUUACUUUAAUUUUUACGAAUAAUUCUCUAUCAAUGUAAAAAUUUUUCAUAUACGCGUGUAUGAAAGAAAAACACUACUAUUUUUCCACAUUCGUGAAAACUGCUUAACUGGGACAGUAACCGAGCGGCCAGUGAAUAUUUAAAAUACUGUAACCGACGAAUACGUAUGCUUCUAGGACCACGUGGAAUCUUUCCCAUGACAGGAUUUCACCAUGUUGCCCAGGCUGGUCUCAAAACUUCUGAAUUCAAGCAGUCCGCCCGCCUCUGCCUCCCAAACUGUUGAGAUUACAGGCGUGAGCCACCGCACCCAGCCUCAAGAAUGUCUUACUGCAGGAAGAACCAACUAAAGCAUGAAUGAAUGAAAGCCUGCACACACCAGGGGCCCGCCUCAACCCUCCUCCUCUCUUGGAAACACGCCUCCUGCGGGAGGCAGCGGGAGGAGGUUCACGCGGCAUGACCGCGCUCUUGUCCUCCCGACGGCCUCGGAAGGUAAGGGGCGACGGGGGCCGGCUGGAAGCUUGGCGGGGCACGUCACCCACUGACCCGGCCACUCACCAGUGCACCAACACCGCACGGCCCUCAGCGCGGGCCUGACCGAUGAAGGCCACGCACCGGUCCAGAUGGCUGAGUAGGUCCGUCUCGGGUUUGUCCAGCGCUGGCACGAAGAGGCGCCAUAGAUCCUCGACCCCAGGCCCCGCCUUGAAGCUGGGCUCCUCCGAGUCCACUGUUAGCACGGCCGUGAUGCCCGCUUCCCUCAGGUGAUCUGGCUCCGCGACGGCCGCGGCCCCACCGAAAUACAAUCCUGGCUGCACUUCCAGCAUCUGCCCGGCACAGCUGACUCUGCUGGCGCUGGGGUUGCUGAGCUCGCAGCCAUCACUCGGGCCCGGAGCCUCCAACAUGGCCGCGCCCAGAGACAAGGCGGCUUCCUGCCCUACCAUCGAGUAGACUCCGGCUAGAACAUCCUUCCCCUGGGACUCGCCAGCCUCGGCGGCUCUGCUGCUCCCUCGGAGGACCACGUCGGCCGCAGGAAUCUGGACUUAUCGCUGAGGGGCGGAGCUUCGGCCCCAUUCAGCGCGGCCUUUCCACCCUUGUUCCCUCUGACCCCUACCCCCAAAGUUGAUGGUGAAGGAUAAGCUUCCCCAAAUACAGGGUUUCUCGAGCUCUUAGUAUUGAAAUUUUCAGGAAAGAGACAUCAGGAGCAGCUGAACUCAAAUGUGAAAUAAAUGUCGCACCAGCUGAAUCAGAAGCAUCAUUUUAUGCAUUUGAAGUAAAAUUUUUUUCAAUAUUAUGGAGCCAUCUUUACUGUGCAUUUCAUGAUUAUUUUUCCUUUUUCUGCCCAAUUUCAUUAUUGGGGUGUGAAUCCUUGUUGAUGUUUACUGUCUAUUUAUUUUGAAGAUACUAAUCCUAUAUUUUUGUAAGUCAAUGUCCUCCGGCCAGGACUACAAGAAACCAACUUUAAUUAAGCAAGUUGGUUUUAUUACUCAGUCAUGAGUUAUGGAGAAUUUCAGGGCAUCUCAGCACGAGGAUGUUAGGAAGAUCCUCUACAGAUUUUGGGCUUUUAUUUGGGGAUUUUGGAAAGGGUUGAAGGAAGCAGGCUUUGCUCCAGACUGAAUGCUGCAGGAAGAUACUCAGUACAGUGAGUAUAUUUUAUAUAUCUUUUGUAUAGGGAGGACAGGUGAGAGAGAUACUAAAGCUGUAAUUGGUCAAGAAGUAGCAGCUAUAGUACUGGUAUAAAGAUAGAUACAUCGACGUGUCUCUAUUCUGGAACAGAACAAACCCUUGCGUGUGGAGUCCUAAUUAGGGAAAAGGAGUCAGGCUGGCUGGACGAAGGGAAGCAAAAGGAGAAAGCAGACAAGCCAUAAGUCUGCCUUUCUUCGUGGUCCAGGACACAUAGCCCUGCUGUGCAAAUAACUCACAAUCUGCCUGUGCCCAGCCAUCACCAGACCCUCAGCUGAUAGAAAAAUGGAAGUUAGUUCACUGCAACCCUGGCAUUAUUAGUACUGCACAAAGCCCUCUUCCACCCACAACAUAAGCACCAUUCUACAAAAUCCCCAGCAAGCCUUUGUUUCCUAGCAGUCAGCUUCUCUCUUGCUGACCUGCCUGUUGCACCCUUGCAAUGUAUUUUCAUACUUUAUCUAAUAAACCUGCCUUUCUUUACCUACAACUGUGUUGGUAAAUUCUUCCUACCACCCAUGUCACCAGCCCAGAAAGCUGCUAAUCACCUGCAACACUGCAUAUAUGUUAGAAUAAUCUUCAAAAAGAGUGCCAAGACCACACAAUGGAAAAAGGACAAUCUCCUCAACAGUGUUGGGAAAAACUAGAUAUCCACAUGCAAAAGAAUGAAGAUGGACCUUUACCUUGGACCAUACACAAAAAAUAACUCCAAAUAGAUUAAAGACCUAAAAAUAUAACAUUCUUAGUAGAAAACAUAGGGGGAAAGCUUCAUGGCCUUGGAUUUGAUAAAAAUGUUGAAACAGGUAAGGGUUAAUGGUCUCAUUGUCUAAGGUGUUAUCCGAACUUGUCUAACGACCGAGAAAACUAAGGAGCAUGGGCACAAAGAGUGAGGUUGAAGCAAAAGUUUAAUAAGCAAAAGAAGAAAGCUCUCCACAGCAGAGAGGGG